rnacentral:rRNA from 1 species
ACGGAGGGUGCAAGCGUUAUUCGGAAUUACUGGGCGUAAAGCGCACGUAGGCGGCUUCGUAAGUCAGGGGUGAAAUCCCACGGCUCAACCGUGGAACUGCCUUUGAAACUGCAAAGCUUGAAUCCUGGAGAGGGGGGCAGAAUUCCUGGUGUAGGGGUGAAAUGCGUAGAGAUCAGGAGGAACACCGGUGGCGAAGGCGGCCACCUGGACGAGUAUUGACGCUGAGGUGCGAAAGUGUGGGGAGCAAACAG